UCAGACUCGCGGCACCGAGCUCAGUAACACGUGGCCAAACUACCCUACAGAGACGGAUACCCUCGGGAAAUUGAGGUUAACCCGUCAUACCGAUCUCAGGCUUGAAUCGCAGAGAUCACAAAACGCCCCGGCGCUGUAGGAUGUGGCUGCGGUUGAUUAGGUAGACGGUGGGGUAACGGCCCACCGUGCCCAUAAUCAGUACAGGUUGUGAGAGCAAGAACCUGGAGACGGAAUCUGAGACAAGAUUCCGGGCCCUACGGGGCGCAGCAGGCGCGAAACCUUUACACUGCACGCACGUGCGAUAAGGGGACUCCGAGUGCGAGGGCAUAUCGUCCUCGCUUUCGUGUACCGUAGGGUGGUACACCAACAAGGGCUGGGCAAGACCGGUGCCAGCCGCCGCGGUAAUACCGGCAGCCCGAGUGAUGGCCGAUCUUAUUGGGCCUAAAGCGUCCGUAGCUGGCUGCGCAAGUCCGUCGGGAAAUCCACUCGCCCAACGAGUGGGCGUCCGACGGAAACUGCACAGCUUGGGACCGGAAGGCUCGAAGGGUACGUUCGGGGUAGGAGUGAAAUCCCAUAAUCCCGCACGGACCACCGAUGGCGAAAGCACUUCGAGAAAACGGAUCCGACAGUGAGGGACGAAAGCCAGGGUCUCCAACCGGAUUAGAUACCCGGGUAGUCCUGGCCGUAAACAAUGUUCGCUAGGUAUGACACAGACUACGCGUCUCUGUUGUGCCGUAGGGAAGCCG
rnacentral:rRNA from 1 species